AUUUUGGGAUGUAGAAAGUAUGUAAGUGAGGUUCUUAUUUUUGUUUCCCCACCCCACCAUUUUACACACACGCAUUUUCUUUUCAUACAUUGGUCGCAUAAAACCCCAAGACGAUUGAAUUAAUAAACCUCUAAAGCAAUUAAAACCUUAUUUUUAAGUUGUGUUAAAUAUUUUAGCGAACAAAAGGAAGCCUAAACUUCUGGACUGUCUGUAGUUGUACAUCAUUUAUUUGGUAUGAGCUAUCUCCCCUAUCAUAAAAACGACAUUGGUUUGUCCCUCGUUCUUUCCUGUUGGGGCAGUCGGCAGCAGCCAUAGCCAGAUGAUAUCCAUCUUUUGUCAAAUGAACGUCAAAAAUAGACAGGUUUAUCUAACCUAAUGAUCCUAAACUGCCACAUCAAUUAUCUUAAUAACACACUGCGUAAAUGCUCCUUCGUCCGCUGCUACGAAAAGUAAAAUCGGAUGUUCAUUUGACAAAAGGUGGACCCCUUCUAGCCGUGACCCACGGUACCGCCCCUACUACCAUCCCAGGUGUACUGAACUUCCGUACUGCUUCCUUGGUCGUUUUGACACCUCUGUUGACACUAUGUUAUCGCAUUCCCGAUGUCUUUGCAGGACACUUGGGCGCCCCCUGUCUGCGCUAAGUCAGGGUAAUAAUGUGCUGGCUGGAAGGACAACUUCAGGAUUAACCCGGCCCACCCAGGACUAACCCGGCCCACCCAGGAUUAACCCGGCCCACCCAGGAUUAACCCGGCCCACCCA